rnacentral:rRNA from 1 species
UACGGAGGGUGCAAGCGUUGUUCGGAAUCAUUGGGCGUAAAGGGCGCGUAGGCGGUCCGGUAAGUCGGGUGUGAAAGCCCCGGGCUCAACCCGGGAAGUGCAUUCGAAACUGCCGGACUUGAGUACGGGAGGGGGAAGUGGAAUUCCUGGUGUAGGGGUGAAAUCCGUAGAUAUCAGGAGGAACACCGGUGGCGAAGGCGACUUCCUGGACCGAUACUGACGAUGAGGCGCGAAAGCGUGGGGAGCAAACAGG